AUUGAACGCUGGCGGCAUGCCUUACACAUGCAAGUCGAACGGCAGCGGGGGAGAAGCUUGCUUUUCCUGCCGGCGAGUGGCGAACGGGUGAGUAAUACAUCGGAACGUGCCCUGUAGUGGGGGAUAACUAGUCGAAAGAUUAGCUAAUACCGCAUACGACCUGAGGGUGAAAGUGGGGGACCGUAAGGCCUCAUGCUAUAGGAGCGGCCGAUGUCUGAUUAGCUAGUUGGUGGGGUAAAGGCCUACCAAGGCGACGAUCAGUAACUGGUCUGAGAGGACGAUCAGCCACACUGGGACUGAGACACGGCCCAGACUCCUACGGGAGGCAGCAGUGGGGAAUUUUGGACAAUGGGCGAAAGCCUGAUCCAGCAAUGCCGCGUGUGUGAAGAAGGCCUUCGGGUUGUAAAGCACUUUUGUCCGGAAAGAAAUGGCUCUGGUUAAUACCUGGGGUCGAUGACGGUACCGGAAGAAUAAGGACCGGCUAACUACGUGCCAGCCGCCGCGGUAA
rnacentral:rRNA from 1 species